AAACCAAACCCUUCUCAAUUGUGAUCUGCAUGUAUCUAAUUAAAUGAUGUGGACUUGGACAGACUGUCUCUGUGUUACUCUCCUGCUUCUCCUCCAAAGAACAGGCUCUGAGAAGUUUGAGGUUCUUGGUCCGAC